CAGUAGCCGCGGUAAAACAGAGGGUGCAAGCGUUAAUCGGAAUUACUGGGCGUAAAGCGCGCGUAGGUGGUUUGUUAAGUUGGAUGUGAAAGCCCCGGGCUCAACCUGGGAACUGCAUCCAAAACUGGCAAGCUAGAGUACGGUAGAGGGUGGUGGAAUUUCCUGUGUAGCGGUGAAAUGCGUAGAUAUAGGAAGGAACACCAGUGGCGAAGGCGACCACCUGGACUGAUACUGACACUGAGGUGCGAAAGCGUGGGGAGCAAACAGGAUUAGAUACCCCAGUAGUCCCUGUCUCUUAUAC
rnacentral:rRNA from 1 species